rnacentral:rRNA from 1 species
GAUGAACGCUGGCGGCGUGCCUAAUACAUGCAAGUCGAGCGAACAGACGAGGAGCUUGCUCCUCUGACGUUAGCGGCGGACGGGUGAGUAACACGUGGAUAACCUACCUAUAAGACUGGGAUAACUUCGGGAAACCGGAGCUAAUACCGGAUAAUAUAUUGAACCGCAUGGUUCAAUAGUGAAAGACGGUUUUGCUGUCACUUAUAGAUGGAUCCGCGCCGCAUUAGCUAGUUGGUAAGGUAACGGCUUACCAAGGCAACGAUGCGUAGCCGACCUGAGAGGGUGAUCCGCCACACUGGAACUGAGAAACGGUCCAGACUCCUACGGGAGGCAACAGUAGGGAAUCUUCCGCAAUGGGCGAAAGCCUGAAGGAGCAACGGCGCGGGAGUGAUGAAGGUUCUCGGAUCGUAAAACUCUGUUAAUAAGGAAGAACAAAGGUGUAAGGAACCAUGCACGUCUUGACGGUACCUAAUCAGAAAGCCACGGCUAACUACGUG